rnacentral:rRNA from 1 species
AUGGCAGUCCAGUCGACCUUCACCUUCAGUUUGGGGGAACCGUGUUCCCACACAGUCUCAGUUGUAGGGUAUUCGAGAGUGACAGUAUUCUUAGGGUCCUCCUCCUCCUCAUCCACUUCUUCGCUAUCUUCUUCAAUGCCUUCCUCUUCCCCUUCCCCUUCGAUUUCCUCUUCCUCUUUGUCGGGCUCAAUCUCGUCAUCAUCCUCAUCCUCUCGUUCAAGGCUAAUCAUAUCCUCAUCCUCAAUCUCCCAACCCGCAUCAGAAAACAAACAUAGAGCAUCAUUUGUUCGUCAUCCGCGAACGCGGGGUCUUGAAUAG